rnacentral:rRNA from 1 species
GACGAACGCUGGCGGCGUGCUUAACACAUGCAAGUCGAACGAAGAGCGAUGGAAGCUUGCUUCUAUCAAUCUUAGUGGCGAACGGGUGAGUAACGCGUAAUCAACCUGCCCUUCAGAGGGGGACAACAGUUGGAAACGACUGCUAAUACCGCAUACGAUCUAAUCUCGGCAUCGAGGAUAGAUGAAAGGUGGCCUCUACAUGUAAGCUACCACUGAAGGAGGGGAUUGCGUCUGAUUAGCUAGUUGGAGGGGUAACGGCCCACCAAGGCGAUGAUCAGUAGCCGGUCUGAGAGGAUGAACGGCCACAUUGGGACUGAGACACGGCCCAGACUCCUACGGGAGGCAGCAGUGGGGAAUCUUCCGCAAUGGACGAAAGUCUGACGGAGCAACGCCGCGUGAGUGAUGACGGCCUUCGGGUUGUAAAGCUCUGUUAAUCGGGACGAAAGGCCUUCUUGCGAAUAGUGAGAAGGAUUGACGGUACCGGAAUAGAAAGCCACGGCUAACUACGUG